GACGAACGCUGGCGGCGUGCCUAAUACAUGCAAGUCGAACGCAGUUGCGAACGGGUGAGUAACGCGUAGGUAACUGCCUGGUAGCGGGGGAGAACUAUUGGAAACGAUAGCUAAUACCGCAUACUACCAGAUGGACCUGCGUUGUAUUAGCUAGUUGGUGGGGUAACGGCUCACCAAGGCAACGAUACAUAGCCGAGCUGGGAGGGUGAUCGGGCCAACCUGGACUGGGACCACGCCCAGAAUCCCACGGGAGGGAGCAGGUGGGAAACUUCGGCAAUGGACGGAAGCCUGACCGAGCAACGCCGGGGGAGUGAAGAAGGGUUUCGGGGUGUAAAGCUCUGUUGUAAGAGAAGCGGUAUCUGACCAGAAAGGGACGGCUAACUACGUGCCAGCAGCCGCGGUAAUAC
rnacentral:rRNA from 1 species